rnacentral:rRNA from 1 species
AUGGCCUCGGCUGCUUACACUGAUGAUUCUGGUUCCGAGGUUAUUGAUCCUCCAAAGUCUGAGGUACUGGAUGUUGCUGAACUUGUCGGCGAUCAUACACAGCUUACACAAAAAUCAAAUGUGGUGGCUUCUAGCAGCGUUCGCGAACUUUUGGAAUGCCCCGUCUGCUUGAGUGCCAUGUACCCUCCUAUACAUCAGUGCUCUAAUGGCCAUACAUUGUGCUCUGGAUGCAAGCCAAGGGUUCACAACCGCUGCCCAACUUGUAGGCAUGAACUAGGUAACAUAAGAUGCCUUGCUCUUGAGAAGGUGGCUGCAUCUCUUGAGCUUCCAUGCAAGUACCAGAACUUUGGUUGCUUAGGCAUUUACCCAUACUACUGCAAGCUGAAGCAUGAGUCACAGUGCCAUUAUAGGCCUUAUAGUUGUCCAUACGCUGGAUCUGAAUGUACAGUUGGUGGUGACAUUCCAUACUUGGUAAAUCAUUUGAAAGAUGAUCACAAAGUUGAUAUGCACAGUGGAAGCACUUUCAACCAUCGCUAUGUCAAGUCAAAUCCUCAUGAAGUUGAGAAUGCGACCUGGAUGCUUACGGUUUUCAGCUGCUUUGGCCAGUACUUCUGCCUGCAUUUUGAGGCAUUUCAGUUGGGCAUGGCACCUGUGUACAUCGCUUUCCUGAGGUUCAUGGGAGAUGAUGCGGAAGCAAAGAAGUACAGCUACAGCCUGGAGGUAGGAGGUGGUGGGCGCAAGAUGAUCUUUCAAGGGGUUCCCCGGAGCAUUCGAGACGGCCAUCGGAAGGUCAGAGAUAGCUAUGAUGGGCUAAUAAUCCAACGGAACAUGGCCUUGUUCUUCUCUGGUGGUGAGAGGAAGGAGCUUAAAUUGAGGGUCACCGGGAGGAUUUGGAAAGAAGAGUGA